ensembl:lncRNA
ACAUGAGGGGGGAAAAGUCCCUCCUGUAAGCCGUGUAUCUUCUGAAUCACUGGUUCCUGUCACUGCCUAACAAGGAACCCCUGCUAAGCAGGAGGGGAAUUCUGUGAUAACCGAUUAAUCUUGAUAAUUGCCUGGGGGAUUUUACUGUGCUCUAAUUUCAACUUCCAUGCAAAUUACUUUCCUGAUCUAUUACGAGGUGGCACCACGUUGAAACUGUGACUUGCUGUGUAAAGGCAGAGAACAGGACACGGAAAGUCCCUCCGAAUUUGAACUUUCCAGAAUGAAUCAGCUGUGACGUUCCUUUUGCUUUCGUGCAUUCAGGAGCAGCUGUUUUGGCUGGGAGGGCGCCCGUUUGCUGAAUGGAAGGGAUGAACUUGCCUCUUGGAUACUUGGCUCCAAAUCCAGCCCACUGCCAUCACCCUGGACUGCGUUCCAGGGAAGAAAUUGAGAUGGCAUUGGGACCCGAUUCAUCAUAACACACUCAUGUAAACCUGCUGGGUCCAGAGGCCCCGAUCCUUGGGAAGAGUGAGAAACGGGAGCAAUGCUGCCCCCACAGUCACCACUCCCCCACACAUCCCAGCUAACAUUGCUCCGCAUCAACACCCAUGCGAUUAAGACAUUGAGGGCCUGACAAGGGGCCCUCCUUUGCUGACAAUAAAACAAUUAAGCCGUUUGCUGGGCAAGGGACAGGGAGUUCCGUCAACCUGUUCCUACAAAUGAGUCUCCUGUGGGAUGCUGAAUGAUUCUCAUUCCCCCCGCAGUCAAGCCGAACAGCUGGAGGUGCUGGCGGAAGCGGGAUUUGCGCUUGCUACCCGGCCAUCU